GUAGCGGUGGCUCAGCUGGUUAGAGGUUUGGCUGGGGCGCAGAAGGUCAGGGGUUCGACCCCCGCUGUG